ACGCCAUCGUUGUCAGCUGUGUUGUUACUGUUACUUGUUAGUGUAGGAGUAGAGAAUAACUUUUAGUAUUACUGAUAGUAGUACUAGACUACUACUAGUAGCAUCUAAACAAGUAAUUUUACUGUUAAUACUGCCCACUGAUGACGAUAGGUACUUUUUUGUGAUCCUGAAAGUAAAUCAACAGCUCAUGACUUCUUAUUGGAGCCUCCAUCAUCUUGAUGCAAUCUACCAACCUUAUCGAUGGAAGACUCCCUAUCUUCAGCUUUCCCUCGUCUCUCACUUUUUAUGCUGAUGAUCAAUCAUCUCACAAGCAAAUUCUCACACUCUACAAUCCAUAUGAUUUCCCUUUAAAAUUUCAAGUUUUAUGCACUUCACCAAAGAAAUUUGUUGUAGUGGACCCAGAGGGAACAAUAAGACCACACUAUUGCAUAGACAUUGUAAUUCGUCACAAUAAUAUCACUCAGAGCAACUAUGGUGUCACUGAAAAGUUCCGGAUUCAGGUGUAUGAACAUGGACAAUGCCAAAUUCUUGGAAAAAAAGACAUCCCAGCAACACUGCUUUUGUCUAAACCAGUCACUAGUGUUUCUUCCAGUACAGAUUCAGAGCAAUUUGAAUGGCUUUCCAAGCAGUCUGUACCAAAGGCUCAUAAAAGGCAGUAUGCUAUGAACGAAGCACAAGAAAGAAGUAAUGCUAGGCCAAAUGUGAUUGUGAUUUUAGCUGCUGUUCUGUGUAUAAUGGCAUUAAUGUUGCCAACCCAAGGAGAUCCAGAGGGACACCUUCCAAUCUAUUUUCAUCUCAGUAUGCACCAGAAACUGAUAGCUGCCUACACGUUAGGACUUGUAACCAUGGUAAUCUUCCGAACUUGAUAGAUAUUUGGGCAUAGCACUCUUUAGGUAGAAUGACCCAGUGAAUGUUUACGCACAGUAAUCAAAGCCACACUGGACUGUCUACUGUGUCUUCCGCAGGGAAUCGAACUCUGAAUGUUAGCGUUGUAAGUCCGUAGAUUUACUGCUCUCCCAUCGAGGGACAGGAUAUGAAUGAAAUCAGUUUUAUUGUGAAACACAAGAACAAAACAAGUGGAACUUAACAGCGAAUUCUACGGUUUUUAAGAUGAACAAAACGCUCAUAUGAAACAAUUUCAUAAACUAUAUAUAACCCACUAUUCAAAAUCUUUAGAGACUUGAAUUUGUAUUUUUUGUCCUUAACAAAGUUAUAGUUCGUCAGAAACUGUACUCAGUAUUUAUUGUAGCAUCUCUUGAAACAAAAUUUUCUGAACUUUGUAUAGAUUAGCAAAAAAUGAUAAAAUUUAAUUGCCAUUCGUAACAUUCCGUUUCCUUUACUUAGAAAGUAUAAAGAAAUUACAGAAUUAAUAAAAAUAAUGAAAGUCAUCUAAAUUUACUUAUUUAUUAUCGUAAUACGUGCUCAAAACGACGUUCACCAUUUAGUUUCUGUAAUGUGUGAUAUAAAUAUAUACAGCUUUCUUUAAUUGUUUUUAACAAUUACAUUGUGAUAUAUAUAUAUAUAUAUUGAUUUAGUGCUACACGCCCCCAGUGUCUGAACGGUAAGUCUGAGGGCUAGUAACGCUAGAAAUCUGGUUUUGAUACUUGUGAUGCACAGAACAAAGGUUGUGUAGUUUUUGACAAACAACAGAUUUUACACAUAUUAAUUAUGUACCUAAUGCUGCAUUGUGUAACUGCCUACCUGAAAUCCUCCGGUAGGUCAAUGGUAAGUUUGAGUUAAAAUCCCGCGUUCGAUUCCCUGUGAUUGUCAGUACAUAUACCUAUUGUCUACCUGGAUUCAAAUAUUUGAAACUUCGUUAAUUGACAUAAUGAUACUUAUGUUUUACCUUUAAAUUAUAAUUGAAUGCUGUAAAAUAAUUUGAUUAACAUUCGUGAUAUUUAAUUUACAUCAACGUCGUUUCUUAGAUACGCAUUUUAAUAUACUAAAAAAUAACAAAAUUAAAACAUAUGGUUUCUAACGAAUUUUUUUUCUGAUCUAUUGAAGCUGAUCAAAGACUGAAGAAUAUACUGCAAGAUGAAUGUAUGGGCUUAGGAACUUAGAAAAUAUACACAAUGACGUUUUGUUGUUGUUU